UCUCGCGCAUCUCAUAUCCUAAAAAAUCAGCGUGCAUUCUCAAUCCCAUCUUUCCCAAACCUUGCAACAAUGGCCUCCCCUUUUCUCCUCCUUCCUCUUUGUUUUCUAUCUCUUUCCCCCAAAUCAGAAUGGCUGACAACCAUUGUUGCAGGUAGCCUAGCACCUCACCUGCAUGAGAAUACCACAAAAAUAGACCCUCCAGCCUAUGAAUCCUUCAAGAACAGAGAAAAAAAUCCCCUAAUCUGUAUAACAAUGGAAAAAAGAGUCAAAACUGCCAUUAAUGGCCUGGUAAAGCAAGAGAUUUAUUUUAGAAUUUUGAAUCAAUUUCAAACCAAGUUUUUUUCAUCACGUUUUGUUUAAAUCAAGUUUGGAAUCCAUAUUUUCAAGUACGAAUUUGCCUAUAAAUAUGGGUCUUUCAUUGGUAUGGAGAUGACAAGGAAAAUUUGGAUAAAAUAGCAGUGAAAAGGGUCUUGAAUUUUUUUUUCAAAAUCAAAGGGAAAAUUUGAAAAAGAGUAUUUUGAGAUAAAGGGGUUUGAAAUUGGAGAGGAUUUGGAUGAAAAAUAAUGAGGAAAAUAAAAAAAAUGAAAGAGAGAGUAGCUUAUACUUGGAAAAUAUCAAGAAAAAUUAGGUCUUGAAAUAGUUGGCUUCUUUAUUGUUUUCAUGUUAAAAUCAGUGUCUCCGGUUGAGUUUAAGGUCCCCAAAAAAUUUAACGUCAUUCCUCGUUUGCUGCGCCAACAAAGGUGCGAACUUUCCCUUUCCGUCCCAUUUUCUUUUCAUCUCAUUUUUUAAUUUUUUUUGGAUAUGCUUUUUAAGUUUAUUGUAGUUCUCGACUCUACAAGCAAAUAUUUUGUAUAUGUUUGAUACUAUACCUGUGAGCGCACAUAAUUGGAGUGACAAAAUACAUGACAAUAACUUGAUCUGAAUCUUUGAUUUUGGCAUUUUGUGGCUGUUUCGGUAAUAUGGAUGAGAGUUUGGCUAUUUUGGAUCUCUUUUUUUUUAAAAAAAAAAAGAAAAAUUAAUUUUAUAAUUCGGAUAUUAUUUCACUUCAAGUUGGGUGGUACUAUUAUUAUUCGUUCCUCUGAAAAUUGUAUAUAAAAUAGGAUUUUAUUUUAAAUUUUUUUGUUGUUUUUUUAUCACCUCUACAGAUAAAAUAUAUAUACAUAUAUUUUUAAUUCUGAAAAAAAAAGAUUCGUAUAUAAUUUCCAGUCAAGCUUAUGUUGUUGAUUGAUUCCGAAAGAUUGGGUUUGUAUAUGAAUUUAUAUGUAGUUUUAAGUUAUCAUUGUUUAUUCUAAAAUGGGUUUGUAGUUAUAUUUCAGUCAAGUCUAGGAGUUGUUUACUGAUUCCAAAAAAUGGGGCUCGUAUGUGAAUUUUCAUUAAAUGCACACAAAUUUGUGAUGUUGCCAAAUGAGUUUUUUCCCAUAGGUGGUCUAUUUUUGUAUGUGAAAAUAUUCUAGUCAUUAAUCCUAAUAAAAGGGAUUUUGUUAAUGUGGUUUAGAAGUUGUAGCUUGUUUUAAUAUAUUAACGGUGUGUAUUUAUUGAUUUAUUUUAAUAUAUUAGUAGUGUGAAUUCACUUAGUGGAAUUGCCUUCUGUUAUCCUAAGGGAUUAUGUGAUGACUUUCGAUUUUGCUAAGUUAAAAAUUAUUAUAACCUUUGAAGGAUUGUAGAAUGUUCAGAAAAUGAGUUUAGGUUGAUAGAAAUAUCGAAAAUUGCGAUUAUGAAAUACUCCCAUAAACGAUUCUUUAGUUAUGGCCCGUUGUUAUGUUAGUGGAUACAAGUUUGACGAUUCCAAUAGGUACGGAAUGUGAUUUAUCACUUAGUUGGAAAGUUUAUACAGUUUGGUAGUUUUUUGGAACAAUAUACGACUAUGCAUAUAGUUGUUAUCUGUGUCACAUUCUAUAUGCUUUCUUUAUAAAUGGGCAUUAGUACAUAGUGUAUGGCUAGCAUAAUCCCCAAUUAUUCUAUUGUGUUCGUUUCAUUCUGACCCAUGUUUGAGAUUUCUAACGGAUAAUUUAAAUGGUCGACAAGAUUAUUAUUUUUUAGGACAAACUCUGCAUUCUUGUUUCAACUAUAGCAUUUGAAUAUUCUGUAUACAAUAUGAUGUUGAAUAAUGGUAAAAGGUUUGGGUUCACAACAUAGAAACCAACAUUGAUAGCAAAUUAAAAAGGUUCUUGAAAUUAUGUUUUUACAUCAGCGCAUCUAGUUUUGUUCUUAAAAGGAGCCAUGAGAUCAAUAUGCCUUUGUCUUCUUUUAAAUACAAGUUGAUUGAAAUUGGAGCAGAAAACAACAAUUUCACUUCAAUUUGGUCUGUAACGUUACAUUUGGAUUGUGCUUUAAUGCCAAUUAAGUUGGAGAGUUGUUUUCUAGUUUAUGCAAAUGAUUCUAUUUUCUCUGUUGAAACUAUGCAUGAUGUUUGACAUAUUUUUCUAAUGCUAAUCAUUAAUUCAUGUGUAUCUUCUAAUUAUUUGAUCAGUUAUUAAUCCUUGUUCUCUCUUUUGUUUACAUGUAACUCAGGAGUUGGAGUUUGAAUCGAAACUCCAUUCUUUUACCCAAGCAUCGGAUCGAUCGCUACUAGGAUUACACGAGCCUUGGAGUCCCGCAAAUUAGGAGCCUAAUUUCCUAAACCAAAUUUAUUAUCCUCUAUUGCCUUUCAAUUUAAUUUAUAUUUUAUGUUGAAUUUUAUUUUAAUUACUAAAUUUUGUUUGUUAAGUUUAUUUACGAUAGCUUUAUUUUAUUAUCGAAUCCAUGUUGUUUUGUUAUUCAUUGGUUCUCUUAGAGGUAGCUUUAGCGUAUGGAUUUUCG
rnacentral:lncRNA from 1 species